rnacentral:lncRNA from 1 species
AUAUUCAGAAAGGACUCUUACUACUUGGGCUCUUUCAUGCAAGUGCAGUCAAGUGUUGGCUUGUGCUGCAGAAUUAUGAAAGCUUGACAGGCUGGACAUGCAAAAUAGCUCAUGUACAAGACUGGUAGUUAUUGUCCGUCUUCAGCUGGGAGAUCAUCUAGGUUGUUGAACUGGAGUGCCUAUACGUGGCCUUUCCAUUAUAUUGGUCUCAGGGUAGUUAGACAUUUACACAAAGACUCAGGGAUCCAAAAGUGAGUGUCCCAGCUCAUGAGAUGAAGGCUUCAUUAUCUUUUAUGACUUAACCUUAGAAGUCACAUGACAUCAUAUCUGCCACAUUCUGUUGGUUCCAUGUAAUCCACAUUCCUGCCCAGAUUCAAGGGAAGGGAAAUUGGACUCAACUUCUUGAUGGUGGAGGAGCAAGGCCAAGGAAAAGGAUGUGGGACGAAAGUAUUGAAAUCAGUUUUGGGAAGUGUAACCUGCCUCAAAUAUAACAUGAGAUCAGAAUCUUUAGAUGAGCCAAGAGGUGCCAAAAGAAGCCACACUGAAUGUAUAACUGAAGAAGGGAGCUGGGACUCCAAGAAAAAUACACAAGGGCAAAGUGGAAGCUGAGCCAGGAGGAUGGCUGAGGCUUCCCUGUAGGUGUUUUAUCUUUCAGAAAGUACGUGAACACCGACAGGUCAAGAGAUCCUCUUUGUCUUCCAUUUCCAGUCACAUCUGAGGAUCUGACCAAGAGGACUUUAAGUCAAGCAUUGAGACAAAGGAGAAAAACCAAUUUUUUUUUAUCACUAGUAGAUUUGACAGAAAACAUUGAUUAAGUUUGGUACCUACAAAUUAGAGCAAAGAUUGUGUCUCCCUGAAUACUCUGGAGAUUAAUAAAGAGAACUGAGUAGAUCCUUCACCAAGUGACCAGUGACAUAUGACUCUGAGCAGAAGGAGAGAAGAUAAGGCUUGUGACAAAGCAGCCCAAUCAUGAUGAUAUGAUUUCGUUUGUGUUUUAUUUUCAGAAGCUGUCCUACUAGGAAGCAUUUCAACACUCUCUGAAGACUCUCAGUUUCUCCACUAUGGGAGGGGUUGUUUUGGGUAAUGAUUCAGAGAUCCUCCACUGGGUCACUGCACAGGCCAGAAUAGAAAUUUCCCGAGGGAACCUUUACUCCUACAAGUGGAGAUGAAAAGUGAGGUUUAAAGACCAUAAAAUGAGUGAAAUUAAUGUCUGUUUGAGUGAGACACUGUUUUGGACAUCCUACUGUCUCUUUUUAUCUUCAAAACAAUCCUGAAAUUUUAAUAGUAUUAUUCUCCCUUGAUAGAUGAGUAUGUACUCAUCUUUAAAGGAUAAAUUCUAAUUAAAGUUCUUAUGGUUAGUGUACUGUAAGUCAUAACUUUAAAAAAGGUGCGUCAAAUGCCAGAGAUCUCCCUCCAUACUCCUCUUUAGUGCUUUUUAGGAUCCCAGUGAACUUCAGAGGAAAUUAUUCCCCAUUAAUAUUUUUUUUCUUGGUCUUCUAUAAAGGGCUAUGUUGAUUUUCUUUAACUUGUAGAGGAAACCUCAACAUAAAGAAAAAUAAAGCCUGUGGCAGAAGAGAAGCUAUAGACAUUUCCCCAUUGUACUCAUGCUGAGAUCCAAAGCUGGAAAGUCACUCCCUGUAGUCAGAGCAGGGGCCUUCCUUCUCGGGGGAGGCGGCAAGUCAUUCGCAGGCCAGAGAUGAUGUUACGUGGAACAACCAAUGAAACAGUCAGACCGCUACACUUCCUUCUCAGAAUGCCCCAUCCCGGACUGGCCACUGCUCACAAAGCAAGAGGAUGAGACUGACGUCCAGAGAAGCCCUCAGUCAUUAUAAGAGCCACAGGAAAGGGAUCCCUAACCAUCAAAGUCUUUACUAGGAUCAUAAAAAGAUGAUCUGAUCUCCAGUGCCUACCAGGGAGGAAUAAUGGCACAGCACAGAGGGGCAGGAUGGAGACUGCAUCCUAACCAGGGCCCAACGUGUUUGUCAUCCCACCUGAUGAGAUGAAGCUGAAAUAUUAAAUAGAGCAUAUUUCUGAAUAUCUUUGGCUAGCAGUUGUGUUACUAAGUAACAGUUUUUAAGGUCACAGACUCAAAUGACCACAAGAAAUAGGAUGAGAAUAAGACACUAGGGAGUGGUGGGGACUUUGGUCAACUGGAUAACACAGGUUAGUGUGAAGUCUAGCAAUUAGCUAUUCAAUUCUGGCAAAUUGUUCCCACGUUAAAAUCUGGGGCCAAUGUUACCAGAUCUUUCAAGGUUUAGGAAAAGUGUAUCCAGAAUUUAAAUGGCACAUCCUGUUUUUAAAACUUAUUGUGUAAUUUUGUUGAAACACUGUGUAAAUAGAACAUAGCACCUCUGCAGUGCUGGACCUGUCCUGGGGGUUACCAUUUGUACGCUGGAGCUUUGCGAAGAUAAUAGUUAGGCAUGGUGGUCCUCCUGUUCACUCUAAUCCAGUCUCAUUUUCUGUGGGACUCUAGGUCCACUGGUAAGAAUAGCAACAAAGUGAGUUUUAUACACAACAAAUGAGAUUGUGAAUAGAUGACCCGGCUGUAAGCUCCUUAGAUACUAGAAUAAUGUGACAGAUUCUCAUCCCUGGACAUAGCUUUAUGUGACUAUGAUGUUUCAUUGCUGGGGCUUCAGGGACCAACCCAUCUUGCAAGAUCUGAGCAUCCACAGAAUCUUUGCUUCAGAAUUUACAAACAGCCACGUAUGAUGAGCACAGUCUAGCAUGUUCUCUGUAUUCUUGGCCUAGUCUGAUAAAAUCCCCAUGUCCAUCAGCCAGGGCUAUAAUUGCAACUGACAGAUGAUCCAGCUUUAAAGACAGGACCUUUCACGACCUGGAGAGGAUGCGGCAGAUGCUCCAUGCAGGGACAGCUGCCCAGGAGGCAAAGUUUAGAAAUCACACCU